rnacentral:rRNA from 1 species
CCUACGGGUGGCAGCAGUGGGGAAUAUUGGACAAUGGGCGAAAGCCUGAUCCAGCCAUGCCGCGUGUGUGAAGAAGGCCUUCGGGUUGUAAAGCACUUUCAGUGGGGAAGAAAGCCUUGGGGCUAAUACCCUCGAGGAAGGACAUCACCCACAGAAGAAGCACCGGCUAACUCCGUGCCAGCAGCCGCGGUAAUACGGAGGGUGCGAGCGUUAAUCGGAAUUACUGGGCGUAAAGCGCGCGUAGGCGGUCUGAUAAGCCGGUUGUGAAAGCCCCGGGCUCAACCUGGGAACGGCAUCCGGAACUGUGAGGCUAGAGUGCAGGAGAGGAAGGUAGAAUUCCCGGUGUAGCGGUGAAAUGCGUAGAGAUCGGGAGGAAUACCAGUGGCGAAGGCGGCCUUCUGGACUGACACUGACGCUGAGGUGCGAAAGCGUGGGUAGCAAACAGGAUUAGAUACCCCUGUAGUC